rnacentral:rRNA from 1 species
GACGGAGGGGGCAAGCGUUGUUCGGAAUCACUGGGCGUAAAGCGCGUGUAGGCGGUUUGGUAAGUCGAGUGUGAAAACCCAAGGCUCAACCUUGGAAGUGCACUCGAAACUGUCAGGCUUGAGUACGGGAGAGGGAAGUGGAAUUCCUGGUGUAGAGGUGAAAUUCGUAGAUAUCAGGAGGAACACCGGUGGCGAAGGCGGCUUCCUGGACCGAUACUGACGCUGAGACGCGAAAGCGUGGGGAGCAAACAGG